rnacentral:rRNA from 1 species
GAUGAACGCUGGCGGCGUGCCUAAUACAUGCAAGUCGAGCGAAUGGAUUAAGAGCUUGCUCUUAUGAAGUUAGCGGCGGACGGGUGAGUAACACGUGGGUAACCUGCCCAUAAGACUGGGAUAACUCCGGGAAACCGGGGCUAAUACCGGAUAACAUUUUGAACCGCAUGGUUCGAAAUUGAAAGGCGGCUUCGGCUGUCACUUAUGGGUGGACACGCGUCGCAUUAGCUAGUUGGUGAGGUAACGGCUCACUAAGGCAACGAUGCGUAGCCGACCUGAGAGGAUGAUCGGCCACACUGGGACUGAGACACGGCCCAGACUCCUACGGGAGGCAGCAGUAGGGAAUCUUCCGCAAUGGACGAAAGUCUGACGGAGCAACGCCGCGUGAGUGAUGAAGGCUUUCGGGUCGUAAAACUCUGUUGUUAGGGAAGAACAAGUGCUAGUUGAAUAAGCUGGCACCUUGACGGUACCUAACCAGAAAGCCACGGCUAACUACGUGCCAGCCGCCGCAGUAA